AGCCCGAAACAUGUUGUGUGUUGUGUAUUCCCAAUAAAAGUUUUUGCAGUUAAGAAUACUGCUGUGGAUUUGUCCUGCAUUCGAAUUCUACUGAUUGACUCUAUUGGGGGAUCAACACAGGAUACCUCGCAGGAUAACCUAUCAAGCAAACAAACGAUGGGAUCUACCAAGCAAUACCCCCAAGACAAAAAGGGGUCAGAAAAAUAACUCAUCAACUUGCUACCAAAGCCAUGGCUUACAAGGCAAACAGCACAUCCAUGAAACAGAGAAACUGAUAUAACUUAUAGCCUCAGACAAUUGGAUAUGAAAACACUCUACAAGCCAUAGGUAUCAGAAUGUACUAGGGCCUGAAAAUCAAUUUGACAACAAGACUACAAUUCCAACUCUGAACUACCAACGUAUAACAUAUGAUGAGACUCAAGCAACACAGAGCAAAAAAGAUUAUCCCAUGCUCGAGGUGUACCUUCCCACACUAGAGAGACUUCCACAAUAUGGUUGCCAACACUUAAAAACCCCAGCUGAAAAGGAAAAAGAAAACUGUCUAAUCACAAGUGCCCACUAGGGGCCAAAACCAGAUUGCUAGUGUCACCACCCUAGAAACCACCCACAGGCCAGAUUAUCCCCACCAAAAUUCUUGCAACAUCUUGUACACAUUACCAUUAGUGCUGGAGCAAUGUACCCAACCUUCAGCACUAGCAUGUGACCUUAGAAAUGUAGGCUUGGUGCUAACUACCAUCUAGUACCACACCAGUAUCUAGUACCACACUACAGUUCAAGCACCCCUAGGGACCCCAUCUACUGGUGCCAACCAGGGAGGACGCAUGUAACAACUUUCACACAAGUCAGCCUCCAUGCACACAAGCCAGCCAACACAUGUGCUAUGCCAACACAACUCACCAGCAUAGAUGCCAUGUCUGCAACCACUUGUGGACAAGCCAGCUAUCGUGCAUGCCUGCAUAAAUACACAAGAAGCUGCCACACCUAUAGUCAUUGAUGCCCAAAACCUCGCAGAACAUGCCAACCACCAGUUGAAAGCAGUCAGUGCAUAAAUAAUGGUACACAAGCUAGAAUUUUGCUUGAAACACCUAACGCACACCUCAAUCCACCCUGAAUGUACUAGCCAGUUACUGUACCUACAAAACAAUGGUCCACUUGCCAGCCAUUGCUAGAAAGUAGCGAUGUACACAAUACUAAAGCAAAGAUCAGAUAUAAAGCCAACAUACAAUGACCCAGCCAGCUACUGAAUACCAGUCAGCACAGAGACGAGCUACUGACUCUAAACUCAUGGCAACAAACAGCUGAUACGAAAACCUCGACUGGAGUCACCCAGCAUGCCAAAUGCUAGUGCAAGGCAGCCACAAUGCAUGCAAGGAUUGUAGCCGAAGGCAGACGUUCUUUCUACCAAAGGCUGUUGUCCUUCCCUAAACUGUCACGAGGCAACAGUGAAGCUUUCCAAAUCCCACAGAAAAGGCCAGCAGCUGCAUGCACCAAGGACCAGAGCUAAAGUCCAGAGGCCACAUGCGCCAAAAUCCCAGACUCCACAUGCGCCAAAGGCCACAGCAAAGGCCGUACACCACAUGUGCCAAGGGCCACAGCAAAGGCCGGACACAACCAAGGCAGGAAAAGACCAGCAAAAAUACAGUAUGUACCAAAGGCUUUAGACAAAACCUUCAAACACACAAUAGCAAAGACCAGAAGCCACUAACCAAAGCCAUAGUAAAAAGCCAACAGCAACACUAGCCAAGUACCCUAACAAGAGCCAGCAGCCAUGUGAGCCAAAGGCCAUCACAAGAGUCAGCAGACAUGAGGGGGCAAAGGCCAUCACAGGGACCAAUGAUCACGCUAGUUUUCAUGCUUGUGUUGCUCCCCAGCUCUUUUAACAUUUGAAUCUGGCUCGCGGGUGAAAAAGGUGGCACUCUAGCAGUGGCCUUAGAGCUUUUCUGUAUAAGCCAUAAAGAGCGAUUGAUUUUUUAGCUUUUACUUUAAUUUAUACUUCAAUUUAUUCUAUCAGUUAUAUCCAAUUAAAAUGAUUUUAAUAAAUAUAGAUUUACAGUU